CAUACGGGGGGCUGCAGUGGGGAAUAUUGCACAAUGGGCGCAAGCCUGAUGCAGCCAUGCCGCGUGUGUGAAGAAGGCCUUCGGGUUGUAAAGCACUUUCAGCGGGGAGGAAGGCGGUGAGGUUAAUAACCUCAUCGAUUGACGUUACCCGCAGAAGAAGCACUGGCUAACUCCGUGCCAGCAGCCGCGGUAAUACGGAGGGUGCAAGCGUUAAUCGGAAUUACUGGGCGUAAAGCGCACGCAGGCGGUCUGUCAAGUCGGAUGUGAAAUCCCCGGGCUCAACCUGGGAACUGCAUUCGAAACUGGCAGGCUAGAGUCUUGUAGAGGGGGGUAGAAUUCCAGGUGUAGCGGUGAAAUGCGUAGAGAUCUGGAGGAAUACCGGUGGCGAAGGCGGCCCCCUGGACAAAGACUGACGCUCAGGUGCGAAAGCGUGGGGAGCAAACAGGAUUAGAUACCCUAGUAGUC
rnacentral:rRNA from 1 species